UUGCUGGGUUUCAAGCGUUGUUGCUGAGAAACCCGCCAGAAAAUCUAUACUUUAAAUACCAAAAUCCCAUUUCAGAGUUGCAGUCAUUUCGGGAAGUCUCACCUUUCAGAAGCACACCUCAAGAGGAAGAAGACAUGGCAAAGCGUCUGAUUUCAAUCUUCAGCCGUGGUUGGGCUCAAAAACUCCUCCCAACAUCCUCCACUAAGCUGAACUCAGGAAAGGCUGUUACUGUGGGACUGGGUGGACAGAGUACAGCAGGUUACAGUA